UUGCUUGGGCAGCACAUAUACUAAAAUUGGAACAAUACAGAGAUUAUUAGUAUGGCCCCUGUGCAAAGAUGACACACAAAUUCCUAAAGUAUUCCAUAUUUUU